CCGGCGACCGGCGCACGGGUGAGUAACACGUAUGAAACCUGCCCGUAGCAGGGGGAUAACCGGGAGAAAUCCCGACUAAUACCGCGUAACGCCGCGGACCUGCAUGGGUCUGCGGCCAAAGGAAGCGAUUCCGGCAGGGGAUGGGCAUGCGGCGCAUUAGCUAGUCGGCGGGGUAACGGCCCACCGAGGCGACGAUGCGUAGGGGUUCUGAGAGGAAGGUCCCCCACACUGGUACUGAGACACGGACCAGACUCCUACGGGAGGCAGCAG
rnacentral:rRNA from 1 species